UACCCUGGUGCCCCGACAACUGGUGCCCCGUGUGAGGAAGCCCCGUCCGAGGAUGUAGAAUAGAAGAAAAAAAAGAAAAAUCGUGGAUUUUCCCGGCCGCUGGAGACCCAAGUGUUAAUCAAGAGGAUGCUGUAUCAUCUCUCCUGUCGAAGCCAAGGAGUUUGUAAGUAACUUUUCUCGGGAGAGGCUUGGGUAACAAGAAAAUGAAAAUGGGAACAAAGUUAUCAAAAGUUGGAUGUUACAAGAGACUGUAUCAAAAGACAAUGUUACAAGAAAAAGGUCUUUCUGAAGUCUCAAAAACUGAACUUAAAAAUUUACUUACAUGGGUUAAAACAAAUACGCAAGAUUUAAAUUUACAGUCUGCCUUUACUUUACAUUUUUGGGAUCAGAUAAACUGGAGAAUAUAUAAUUUAGUCUCUCUCAAAAAAGAUGAAAGCUUAAGAGCAAUUAUGCCAACUUCUAAGGUGAACUCGGACUCAGAAAACAAAGCUUCUGGCUCUGUCUCUUUAAAUUCCAGUAAACCAGAGACUGUAUGUGUUUCGGAGAAUGUAACAAAUGUUGUUUCAAAUGCUGAUUUGAACUCCACUGAGAAAAAUCUUCCUUCUCUCUCUUUGGGAAAAAAUGAGACUUUUUCAGACUCUUCGUCGCGUUGUUCUGUUGAUGUAAAAAUAUGUGACUCUUGUAAGGGGGAAGGGACAAAAUGUGUAGAAAAUUUAAAUGAAAAAGUGAAUGUAUUUCCUAAGAUUGGUUGUGCAGGGACACUGAAAGCUGGUUUAGAUUGUGAUAUGCCUGAAGUGGAAACUGAGGGUGUUUCUUCAACUCGGGAAAUUUUGGUCCCUGUGGGUUCUGGGAAUUCUUUUUCAGUUAAGCAAAAACCUGGUUUUUAUGGUAAUUGUCAAUCCAUAGGUACAGAGAAAGAAAAAUUUGCUUUAAUUCAAAGGGUGGAGUCCUUUGAAAGGAUGGAUAACUCUCAAAAACCUGAAAAAACACGGGUUGAGUUUUUUCCUCAUUGUUGUGAUCCUAAUUCUUGUAUUUUAAAACAAAACCAUGUAAGUUUAAAACCUAAAUUUGUAUAUUCCUCAGCUGAGUUUUUCUUAGCAAAGAGACAAUGUGAAACUUGUGGUAAAGUGGCAAAUUCAAGGUUAAAAUGUGGCAAUGUUCCCAGAACAGGGGAACACGCCUCUGUCUCGGCCCCUUUGGGCCGGGCUUCGGAGGAAGCGUGUUGUUUGUUGGAGUCCACCCCUGCCUUUCAUGGCAGGGUCCCAAGGAGGGUGUGUUGCUUGGAGGUUUCUGAAAAAAAUUUAGAGCCGUGUUCUCAUGAUCAGGUUGGCCGGCCUCCCGGAGCUGGCCAAGCUCGCGGAAUUGGCAGAAUUCCCGGACAAGAUUUCAGUGUUCCUGUCAGGAACACAGUGACUGGAAGGUUUGGAUUUAAUGAUUCAGGAUCAGAAAAUGUAUUGAUUAGAAGCAAAAGGAAUGUUCAUACUGUCAUUGAUCAAAGUGACAAUUUUGAUUCUCCAUUAAAAUUACCGGAUUGGUCAUACAUUAAUCAGAAAUUAGAAAAAGAUUUGGAUUUAAAGAAACAAUAUCUUGCCUUACCAGUAAAAUAUGGAAGAAGUGAUAGAAAUCCAAAAUAUGAAAGACUCAAUCAC
rnacentral:lncRNA from 1 species